GAUGAACGCUGGCGGCGUGCCUAAUACAUGCCAGUCGAGCGAACAGACGAGGAGCUUGCUCCUCUGACGUUAGCGGCGGACGGGUGAGUAACACGUGGAUAACCUACCUAUAAGACUGGGAUAACUUCGGGAAACCGGAGCUAAUACCGGAUAAUAUAUUGAACCGCAUGGUUCAAUAGUGAAAGACGGUUUUGCUGUCACUUAUAGAUGGAUCCGCGCCGCAUUAGCUAGUUGGUAAGGUAACGGCUUACCAAGGCAACGAUGCGUAGCCGACCUGAGAGGGUGAUCGGCCACACUGGAACUGAGACACGGUCCAGACUCCUACGGGAGGCAGCAGUAGGGAAUCUUCCGCAAUGGGCGAAAGCUUGACGGAGCAACGCCGCGUGAGUGAUGAAGGUCUUCGGAUCGUAAAACUCUGUUAUUAGGGAAGAACAAAUGUGUAAGUAACUAUGCACGUCUUGACGGUACCUAAUCAGAAAGCCACGGCUAACUAUGUG
rnacentral:rRNA from 1 species